rnacentral:rRNA from 1 species
GGAUUCCCCUAGUAACUGCGAGUGAAGCGGGAAAAGCUCAAAUUUAAAAUCUGGCAGCUUUGGCUGUCCGAGUUGUAGUCUGGAGAAGUGUUUUCUGUGCUGGACCGUGUACAAGUCUCUUGGAAUAGAGCGUCAUAGAGGGUGAGAAUCCCGUCUUUGACACGGACUCCCAGUGCUGUGUGAUGCGCUCUCAAAGAGUCGAGUUGUUUGGGAAUGCAGCUCAAAAUGGGUGGUAAAUUCCAUCUAAAGCUAAAUAUUGGCGAGAGACCGAUAGCGAACAAGUACCGUGAGGGAAAGAUGAAAAGCACUUUGGAAAGAGAGUUAAACAGUACGUGAAAUUGUUGAAAGGGAAACGCUUGAAGUCAGUCGCGUCUGUCAGAACUCAGCCAUGCUUUCGCGUGGUGCAUUUUCUGGUAGACGGGCCAGCAUCAAUUUUGACCAUUGGAAAAAGGCUUCGGGAAUGUGGCACCUUCGGGUGUGUUAUAGCCCUUGGUCACAUACAGUGGUUGGGAUUGAGGAUCUCACCAUGCCUUUACGGUCGGGGUUCGCCCACGUUCAUGCUUAGGAUGCUGGCGUAAUGGCUUUAAACGACCCGUCUUGAAACACGGACCAAGGAGUCUAACGUGCCUGCGAGUGUUUGGGUGGAAAACCCGAGCGCGUAAUGAAAGUGAAAG